rnacentral:rRNA from 1 species
CCUACGGGUGGCAGCAGUGAGGAAUCUUGGUCAAUGGACGCAAGUCUGAACCAGCCAUGCCGCGUGCAGGAAGAAGGCUCUCUGAGUUGUAAACUGCUUUUGUACGAGGGUAAACGCAGAUACGCGUAUCUGUCUGAAAGUAUCGUACGAAUACGGAACGGCUAACUCCUUGCCAGCAGCCGCGGUAAUACGGAGGAUUCAAGCGUUAUCCGGAUUGAUUGGGUUUAAAGGGUGCGUAGGCGGUCGGAUAAGUUAGAUGUGAAAUCCCGAGGCUCAACUGCGGAAUUGCGUCUGAUACUGGUCGGCUAGAGAGUAGUAGCGGUAGGUGGAAUGCAUGGUGUAGCGGUGAAAUGCGUAGAGAUCAUACAGAACACCGAUUGCGAAGGCAGCUUACCAGGCUACUUCUGACGCUGAGGCACGAAAGCGUGGGGAGCAAACAGGAUUAGAUACCCCUGUAGUC